AAAUAGCCAGUCUCCACCAGUCCUGUGUACUGUUCAAAGAAAUGUCAGCCAUCGUGGGAAGUCAGAGACACAGGUUGUGCCCGAGGAGCAAGCAUAGGGGCUUUCCUUCGAAUUCUGGACGGCCUACGAAUCGUCAACUCACCAACGUGCCUAGUCAGUACAUGAAUUCACUUGGGAGCUUGAAAAUCACCUGAA
rnacentral:lncRNA from 1 species